rnacentral:rRNA from 1 species
CCUACGGGAGGCAGCAGUGAGGAAUAUUGGUCAAUGGACGAGAGUCUGAACCAGCCAAGUAGCGUGAAGGAUGACUGCCCUAUGGGUUGUAAACUUCUUUUAUAUGGGAAUAAAAUGUUCCACGUGUGGGAUUUUGUAUGUACCAUAUGAAUAAGGAUCGGCUAACUCCGUGCCAGCAGCCGCGGUAAUACGGAGGAUCCGAGCGUUAUCCGGGUUUAUUGGGUUUAAAGGGGGCGUAGGUGGAUUGUUAAGUCAGUUGUGAAAGUUUGCGGCUCAACCGUAAAAUUGCAGUUGAAACUGGCAGUCUUGAGUACAGUAGAGGUGGGCGGAAUUCGUGGUGUAGAGGUGAAAUGCUUAGAUAUCACGAAGAACUCCGAUUGCGAAGGCAGUUCACUGGACUGCAACUGACACUGAGGCUCGAAAGUGUGGGUAUCAAACAGGAUUAGAUACCCCUGUAGUC